ACGGAAGGCAGCAGUGGGGGAUAUUGCACAAUGGGCGCAAGCCUGAUGCAGCGAUGCCGCGUGAGGGAAGAAGGUUUCGGAUUGUAAACCUCUGUCAUCGGGGACGAUAAUGACUGUACCCGAAAAGGAAGCUCCGGCUAACUACGUGCCAGCAGCCGCGGUAAUACGUAGGGAGCGAGCGUUAUCCGGAAUUACUGGGUGUAAAGGGAGUGUAGGCGGGACUGUAAGUCAGAUGUGAAAUAUGCCGGCUCAACUGGCAGACUGCAUUUGAAACUGCGGUUCUUGAGUGAAGUAGAGGUAAGCGGAAUUCCUAGUGUAGCGGUGAAAUGCGUAGAUAUUAGGAGGAACAUCAGUGGCGAAGGCGGCUUACUGGGCUUUAACUGACGCUGAGGCUCGAAAGCGUGGGGAGCAAACAGGAUUAGAUACCCUGGUA
rnacentral:rRNA from 1 species